rnacentral:lncRNA from 1 species
GAUGUUAUCGUUUGUAAUAAGUCUGGCCCAAGUAGUUUAUAUUUCCGACUUCAUCCCAGUCGCCUUUGAAGUCCAUAGCACAUGUAGCAUAUCUUCUAUAAUCUGACUCGUCAAUCUGUGGGUUAUAGGCCCACCUUGAUGUCAUUAGAAGUCUCGAUCAUCUUGAAGCGUCGUCAUCGAUGUCUAACUUACUCGCAUUAAUCGUCUCUCAUAAUUGGACUCAAUUCCACAU